GGCGCGGGGAAGCCGAACGAGAAAAUUGCGCGGGGAGACAGGAAUUGAUUGGUGCCCGCACAAGUGGGCGAAGUCAGUCCACACUGAUCGAACACCCGGGAUGUGCAGCCUCUGUGCGAAGCCCGGGUGUGGGAGUGUUGCAGCGAGGGGGUGGGGGUGGCGGUGGGGCAGAAGGUUCCAGAAGCCCAAGCUGGCCGGCCUCACAGGAGGGGAGUGGGGGAUGAAUGGUCUGCGUCCCUGCCCCAACCGAGCGGCCCCACCCCUACUUGGGUUUCUGGGGAGGGAGAAGAGAGGGAGAUUAAUUCUCAGGUUCCGGGGUAUCUCCCUCCCCUGUGCUCCUGGCUCCGCCACGUUUUUCUCUGUGACCUUCGGGCUCGAGGCCAGAGGUCUGUCCCCCACACCCUUAGCCUCAGGGACAGGUGGGGAAUAGGACAGCAGGGAGCCCGUAGUCGGUGGCCACAGACCGCGGCAGAGAAGAGGAAAGGUAUUUUGAGGUCACCUCAUUUUUUUCUGUCAGUCACUUUGCUUUAUUGCCUGGAUCUUCAGCUGUAAUUACUGGGAAACGCAAACCCGAUGCCCACCAGAUUUAAUCAGGAGAGCUGGCUUAUAGAUUGAUACAACUUAAUAGAUUUAUUAGGGGCUGUGCAGGCCCCAUGGGGAGUAGGCCGAGUGAGGCCUGCCUGCCUGCUGUGUUCGGAGGGAGGAAAGAGUGAAAGCCAGGAGGUGGGGGGAGGGGGAGCCGGGGUGAGGGGAGAGAGAGGGAGAGACACAGGAGGACCCGGACGGGGAUGGAGGAGCGGGGGCUGGGGCAGGCAGAGAGGAAGGGGGCCCAAGGCUCUGGAACCUGUCUGGCCCCGCUCACUGUUCAACUUUGCUGAGCUGCAAGGUGUUCAUCUGUGAAAUGGGCAUAAGGAACGCCUCCCCUGCAGUGAGUGUGUGUGUGUGUGUGUGUGUGUGUGUGUGUGUGAAACAGCUGGGCGCGGCAGCCUCCGGGGCCCGUGUGGCCACGGAGCGCUUGAACUGGGGCCUGCGGUGGGGAACCGGAUGGUAAAGGGACUUGGGUCCAGGCGCCAGCGCGCAGGGUCUAGGAGUCCUCGGAUCCCCAGAGAGUGCACGUCCGCCCCGUUGCAGCAGAUCGGAAAGGCCCUGGCUCUCCUGUCCUCUUGACGGCAUCUGACGCUUUCCUUGGCGACCUGGUCCGAGGCCGCAGCCUUCCCAACCUUAGAAACACGGAAAACUCUUGCGUCCGAAGCAGGGCUCCCCAAGGGCAGCGCCAGCUCUGAGGGGCUGCUGGGGGGUCCCUGAAGGAGACGGCGGUCUCUUUCUCCCAGGCCUCGCUAAGCCUGUUGGACGGCCACCCCAGCUCAGCUUCCUGCAGCGUGGAUUAGCUUCUGCACCGGCACCUGUGCCUCUGAGCGUGCCUUCCUGCGAGCACUGGCUCUCCAGACGCUUCCGUAAACAGCUGGUGUCCAAAUCUCGACAGCCGGGUCUGAUUACCGCUCCGUCGCCAGCGUUACUCUUACGCUUACCCCAUUCCGUGAGAACACAGGAGACCCGGAGGGGCAGCGCCCCUCCGUCGGGACAGGGGCCCGCUCCGAGCCCGGCACAGCGCGUUGGCUCCAGGGGGGCAGUGCGGAGGGCAGACGUCCUUACGGGGCGGCGGGGGAGAAGUUGCCUCCACGAGAUAGCAGGGACGGGGGCCACCUGGUCCAAAGGCCUGAAAUAACCCUCCUCUUCUAACUUGUGAGCUGAGGCCACACUCGGUCUCCCGGAAAGGGAAGGCUGGGUGUGGACGUGGACGUUCAGCAAACGGGCAAGCGGAGGCAGAGGGAGACGACGCGCUCUGACCGGGGUCCCACGGCUGGGUAGGGGUGACGUGAGAGGGGGGCACAAGCUGCGCUGGGCUCUCUGUCUUUGAGCUCACGCUUCCUGGGAGUAGGUGCAUCUGGGAAAGACGACCGGAGGCCGUGUCCACGGAAGUCGGCACGGGGCGGGAAGAGUCCAAACACGUGGCUCCCGCAGGUCGAGAUCCGUGACCUAGAAGGUUAAUGAUCAAGAAGCCCAGUCGCUGUCGUCGUCGCAGACAGAGGUCACUACUACAGCUGUGUGUCCAGCACGCCUCCCCACACCCCUGCUCUGGCUACGGUGCCACUGAUUUCUCUGGGGGCCCUUCUACCCACUCCUUGAGGGCGGAGGGGGCUGUCGGUCCCAGAAAACCCCUCAUCACGGGCCUGGCCACUUUUUGUACCCGGCCACAGUGACUGAGCCAAGAGCCCCUGGAGAGAGACGUUUCCUUCCUUCCUUCCAGAAUCCGAAGCAGGCUCCGGGCUCCGAGCUGUCCGCACAGAGCCCGACGCGGGGCUCGAACCCACGAGCCAGGAGAUCGUGCCCCGAGCCGAAGUCGGACGCUCAACCCGCCCCGAGAGACCUCUCUCUCUGCUGGGCUUGUUUGGGAAGAUGUGAGUCUGGGGCAUUCAGAGGCCAUCUUCCUCACCGCAUGGGGAGACCCAGUCGGCCGAAUGAAGCCACACAGAGUGGAGAUCGUUUGAGAGAGACACAGAAAGCGACAGAGAGAGAGGCAUUCGUCCAUUAGGUAAAUUGGGGUUGGCUUUCCACCAUUUGGGAUGAAAAAAAGCUCCUCAUUCCGUU